CCGCUCCCUUCUGCUCAGCCACGAGCACCGGGUGAUCUCAGCGUUGCCCGUGGAGCUUGGUUAAUCCUUUGUUACUCUUAAGGGUGUGAGUAGCUGGUUUGUACCCGUGGGUGUUGGUCGAGCAGCAGUCUGCAUUCCAUUCAGAAGGGAACUUGCAGUCUUUGGCUUCUGGGCAUUCAGGUUGUACUUCUGUCUCUUCUUUCUAGGCCAGCAGAGCUGCAAGCCUGGUGACCUUUUUCUUCUGCCCUGAAGAGCAUCUGCUAAUUGUGAUCAGGUGGUGCUUAGCCCAAGUGGCUUGUGGCUGCAUUGAGUGUUGUGUGAGUCUCUUCAUGGAUUAGAUCAGCUGACAGAAACAAGGAGCCCACGUGGAAUCCAGGAGGUGACUUUGCAACAAUGAGAUGCGUCAGCCCCUCACUUUUCAGGAGGUUCUGGGGACUUUUGCCUCAGUAUGUGUCAGCGGGACCUAGUCAAAGUCCUAACCUCAGUUCCAAACAGUCGUCUUUGAGACAGAGCUGCAGUGUAAGACCUGGGCUGCUGACUGCCCCUGAUGUGGUCAGCUACUGGCAAAAGGUGUUUGAGAAGAACGGGAUCCCUGAAGCACGAGAAUCCAGUGAAUAUAUCGUGUCAUUUGUCUUGGGAGCAAAAACAUUUCAGAGCUUGGACUCCGAAAAACUCCGCUCUCCGCUUACAGCAGUGCAGCAGGAGCAGAUCCAGCAACUGAGCUGCAAGCGACUGGAAAGAAUGCCAGUGCAAUAUGUGCUUGGUGAGUGGGACUUUCAGGACCUGAAUCUGAAGAUGAGACCUCCAGUAUUUAUUCCUCGUCCUGAAACAGAGGAUCUCAUCUCUCUGGUUGUGGAAGAAGAAUCUCGGAAAUGUGAGGCGAAGAAUUCAGCCUUUUUGGUUGCUGUCCCAUCUCCUGUGAUCCUGGAGAUUGGCUGUGGCUCUGGAGCAAUUGCUCUGGGUCUCCUGUGCAAGAUACCACAGAGCCGAGUGAUAGCUGUGGAUAAAGAAGAGGCUGCUGUGGAUCUCACCAGGGAGAAUGUACAUAGGCUGCAACUCCAAGACAGGAUCCACAUCCUCCACCAUAAUGUUUCAUAUGGUUCUGCCAAACAUCUGCUACCUUGGGGCCCAAUGGACUUCAUAGUCAGUAACCCUCCAUAUGUCUUCCAUGAAGACAUGGCUUCCCUGGAUGCAGAGAUCCUCUGCUAUGAGGACCUUGAUGCACUGGAUGGGGGAGAUGACGGGAUGAGAGUCAUUAAAAUAAUUCUGACUCUGGCUCCUUCUCUUCUGAAGGAUUCUGGGAGUGUGUUUCUGGAAGUUGAUCCCAGGCACCCUGAUUUGGUGGAGGAUUGGCUAUGUGCACAUCCCGACUUGCUCCUCGAACUUCGUGCUGUUCACAAGGAUUUCUGUGGCAAACCCAGGUUUCUGCACAUCCAAAAGCAAAGCAGAUGACAACUGUACCAGGAACAACAUCCUUUCUUGCAGUAAGGCUUUGAAAUGUGAGACUUUACAAAGAAGGCCAGAAUGACUGCUCCAGUAUUUCUGAGAUGGAGAAGUCAAAAAGUUUCAGUGGUGUGAAGGGAGCUGUAGUGGUGGGCAGGCCAAGGCAGUCUCAUCCUGGGCCUGUGGACUUCACUCGAGGUAAGUCACUCCCAUGCUUGGCUGUCAUUGUGCAGUCUGAGCUGUGUGAUAACAGUGUGAAACAUGCAGUGUUGAGAUGAGAAUGGCUCUUCAGCCGUGCCCUUCAGUGCCUUUUCUGAUGGGCUCAGCAGUACCAUGGGGCACUUACUGGCUGCAGGCUUGGGGCGAGCUGUGGCUGGGGGAGAUGGAUGAGUGUUUCCAGUGUGAUGCAGUGCAUACACAGCUCCUGUGCCAGUCCUGGCCCUGCACGGGGGCUGUCUGGAAGGAGACUCUACGGAGUGCCCUAAAAAUAUCCGAGUGUCACUCAGGGUAGGAAGGUGGGGAUGCCCAGAGCUCUUUUGUCCCUUACUCUGUGUGCUGGAGGACUUGGCAUUGGCUGCUGUCUCUUGCUUUGUUCUGUGUCUGUCUUUGUCGUAGCGGGUUUGGUGAACGUGCUUCCCUUCAAGUUUUUUCUUGUUGGCAUGACAGUGAAGUAAAGAGAUGUGGAUAAAGUGCAGCUGUUCUUUUCAAAGCAUAUGUCUGUGCACAGGAGAACUUGAGGUUCCGGCAAAGCGUCACAAGAUCUAUGAAAUACUGUUGCUGUAGAGUAACUUCCGUUGAACAGCAGUUGAUUGUGUUCAGCUGGCUGAGGAGACAGCAGUUAGCAUCAAGGAGCAAAAAAAAAACCAACAGAACAAUCUUAAAACAACAAUCCAAGUGAAAGCAAAUUGUAUCUCCAAAAACUUUGAGCAUAUCUCUGUGUUUGGCUGUUAUUCUUUAUUUAUUAUUGUUAUUAUUUUUGCUGGGGAAACAAUCUACAUUUAGUAAAUCUUUUAGUGAACACGUUUCCCCUUGAUUCUCAAAAAGCUCUCAGGUUUUAACAAAUCGUGUGUGCAUGUGUGUAGGUUAAAAAAAAAUAAAAAUGAUAGCAUGUUCACUUGAGAAUGUCGUUUAUACAUUUAAGCUGUAAUAGUCAGGCAGUCUUGAGUAGCUUGUAGCUUAUAAAAGUGGCAUAAAUAUCUCAUGAUAGGAAGUUAAGAAGCUUGAGCUCUUGAGACUGCAGAACUCCAUGUGACCUGGAUGGAUUGGUGUGUGACAAAUGGGCCUUCUGGCUCCAGGUGACUUCUCAGGAUUCGCUAGUGAGCGUUCCUCCUCCUCUCGGAAUUUAGACAUUUCAGGUUAAAACUUAUUUAACAUUAACUAAUUUUAAGAAGAAAGGACCAUUGCUAUCCUUGCUGAAUGCCAAAAGUACAGCCAGAGCAGAAAUAAUCACAUCUCAUCAAGGCUACGUGCUGCAGCUCAGUAAGCUCCCAUCAAACCCACCUUUUCUAUAGAUGGCUUUUUCUUCCCUGACUUCUCCUUUCUGAAGGCUUGGUUAGGUAGGAGACUAUGCAGCUGAACUCAUCAGACCUGGUUUCUCAGAAGAGAACAAGACAUGCUUCAGAAAGAAGGGCAAAAGCUCUUUCCAUUGCCAGCAGUGUGUUCAUCCCACCUCCUCCAUGACUGCUUGCAGACUGCAAAGCUGAAGUUCCCUCUGCACCCUCUGAAGGGAGCCUAACGUGGCGUUGAAGCCAGUUGCCUUUCCCCUGGAUGAAGGGUCAGGGAUCCGGCACAAGUUCUCCCCACUGACUGGUUUUUGCUCUGGCAAUAGCACAGAAUUCCCUGUUGCUGUCGGUAGCGUUUCAUUCCCGGAGACCUCUGUGAUCUGCAAGUACCUCGUGGCAGGUGAGGGGAAAGGGAACAGGCCUUGUGAUGUUGUGGUGAGCCAAAGCAGUGGUGAAAACAGCCCUUCAAGUCUUUCACGCUGAUAGCACUGGGUAAUAUCCUGGGUCAGCCAGCCAACCUGACCUCCACGGUGGUUGCCUGCUAAGUCCAGGCUGCCUUCAGAGCCUCAGAGCUGGGGGUGCUGGCUGUUUUAAGGCUUUGGCACAGAGUUGCUUGUUUUAUCCUAGAUAAGAGAGGUUGAGACACAAAGGCUUUCUUUGUGGCGUUUUUGUUGCAUAGUGAUUUCUGAUGGCCAGAAACAGCCCUGAGUAGGGUACUGUUGUUUCACAUAUGGCUAGAAAAGCAUAUAACUUUCUCCAAGGACACUGGUGUUGCCAAGUUACCCAACUCCAAGUCACCCUGUUGCAGAACACUGCAUAUGGGACCAUACACGGAAAUCACUGCUAUAUUGAAGGCAGUACAAAAUAAGAGGUGCUUGUUUAGCAGUGCGUCAUGGAGACAUGUAGCAACAUUUUCUGAGAACUCACGUUGGCUCAAGUAGUAUCAAAGGGGAAUUCAGCCUGUGGUUGUAACCUGUGCCAGGGGUUCCCAGGUUUAUGUUGCGCUGGUAGCAGCAAUAGCAACCGUGGGCAUAAGCAGCAGUCAUUGUUAUCAUUGCUGGAGCCAAGGGUGGAUCAUGAGACAGUGGUCACUACAGACGUGCUGUUUCAUGCCUAUAGGAAGACAUGCCUCUAAUUUCUCCUGUGUAGCCUUUGGUCGUGUGCUUUCAUAAUCACCAACCUACCAUCGUCCUCCCCAGCAGGACCCCUGCUCCCUGUCCCAAGUCGAGACCCGCACUUCACCCUUCAUUUACUGAACCCCAUCUCCAUCUCCUGUGCUCAUGGAGAUGUUGGCACCAGGGCUGUGGCAGUUCUUCCCUCAGUGAUUUCAGUACCACAGCUUAGCUGCUCGUAAACACAUUAAGAUCUCUGCUCUCCGGGAUAGCCCUUGUUUCACUGCAGUGGCUGCAUCCAGCAAAAAGAUGUUCCCUGAAAAUAACAAUAACAUUAAAAAAGCUGAGGGUUUUACACAGACCUUUGAGGUAAGAUUAACUCAGGAGGCCAGUCCAUUGCUGAGAGGCACUAACCACUGAGUGCCAGAAAUGUAUUCUUUGUGAACUGCACUGUGUUAGUAAAGAAUUAAUUGAUGAAGUAUCAGAACAGUCCAGGGUAAAAUAUCAUAUGUGUAUGGAAAAGAUGGUGAUGAAUGGGAAACUUCAAAAUAAAUCAAGCUGUGUUGCCUUUU